AACGCACAUUGCGCCCCUUGGUAUUCCGAGGGGCAUGCCUGUUCGAGCGUCAUUUCACCAAUCAAGCCACGCUUGGUAUUGGGCGCCCAGGCCCGCGGGAGACCACCCGCGGGCCCGCCCCAAAGGCAUCGGCGAGGAAGACGACCCCCGGCGUGUUAGAAUCUUUUCACGAAGAGACGCCGGGAGCACCGUCCCGACUCCGCCGCGAGAUGACGGUGGGGGUAAACCCCCCCGACCAACACAAGGUUGACCUCGGAUCAGGUAGGAAUACCCGCUGAACUUAA
rnacentral:misc_RNA from 1 species